rnacentral:rRNA from 1 species
UACGUAGGGUGCGAGCGUUAAUCGGAAUUACUGGGCGUAAAGUGUGCGCAGGUGGCCGCGCAAGUCGAGUGUGAAAUCCCCGAGCUUAACUUGGGAACUGCGCUCGAAACUACUUGGCUAGAGUGUGGCAGAGGGAGGUGGAAUUCCACGUGUAGCGGUGAAAUGCGUAGAGAUGUGGAGGAACACCGAUGGCGAAGGCAGCCUCCUGGGCCAACACUGACGCUCAUGCACGAAAGCGUGGGGAGCAAACAGG